rnacentral:lncRNA from 1 species
AAAUUCCUUCUCCUGGCUCAUCCUGGCUCAAAAGCUCCCCUACUGAGCACCCUGUGACCCCCACUCCGGCCCGCCAGAGAACAACCCUCCUUUGCCUGUAAUUUUCCUUUACCUACCCAAAUCUUAUGAAAUGGCCCCACCCCUAUCUCCCUUCGCUGACUCUCUUUUCGGACUCAGCCCACCCACACCCACGUGAAAUAAACAGCCUUGUUGCUCACACAAAGCCGGUUUGGUGGUCUCUUCACAAGGACGCGAGUGAAAUUUUGGUGCCGUGACUCGGAACGGGGGCCUCCCUUGGGAGAUCAAUCCCCUGUCCUCCUGCUCUUUGCUCCAUGAGAAAGAUCCACCUACGACCUCUGGUCCUCAGACUAACCAGCCCAAGGAACAUCUCACCAAUUUUAACUCCGGUAAGUGGCCUUGUUUUUACUCUCUUCUCCAACCUCUCUCACUGUCCCUCAACCUCUUUCUCCUUUCAAUCUUGGCACCACACUUUAAUCUCUCCCUUAAUUUCAGUUCCUUUCCUUUUCUGGUAGAGACGAAGGAGACGCGUUUUAUCCGUGGACCCAAAACUCCAGCGCCAGUCACGGACUCAAGAAGUCUUCCCUUGGUGUUUAAUCACGCGGGGACACCUCCCUGAUUAUUCACCCACGUUUCAGAGGUGUUUUACCACGGGACGCCUGCCUUGGUCCUUCACCCUUAGCGGCUGGACCUGGGCAGGACCAGCCCGGUCAUCUACAGCUGAGGUGAGGCCUGGGCAGAUUUCCCCUCACAGCCCCAGCAGGAACCAACCCCAGGGACACCUCAACCUUGGACUUCCGGCCUCUAGGAAGAUCAGUAAGAGAUUUCAGUUGUUCAAACCACCCGGCCUGUGGCAGUUUGUUCCAGCAGCCCCAGCCAACUCCUGACCUGAAAUAUGUUUAUUUGUUUACAUUUUCUUUGCUGCUUUUUAGAGUCUAAGCCCCACGUGGGCAGGCCUUUUUAUAUUUUAAUCACUACCCUAUCCCAAGUGCCUGGACGGUGUUGUUGGUGUAAAGCAGUUGCUUAAUAAAUA